UUUGCGCCCGCGUUAGGGAUGGAAGCGAAAAUCCUUUUUAAAUUUGUAAUCCUAGCAUUUGAAAUUAAAAGAAGAAUAUCCGGCAGAGGUUUAGGCAUCUGGGGCGAAAAGACUUUUACAAAUUUAAAAAGAUUGCAGCGGACAGCCCGGCCGCAG
rnacentral:sRNA from 1 species